ensembl:rRNA 5S_rRNA 5S ribosomal RNA
AUCUAUGGCCAUACCACCCUGAGCCUGCCCGAUCUUGCCUGAUCUCAGAAGCUAAGUAGGUUCGGGCCUGGUUAGUACUUGGAUGGGAGAAUUCUGUUAUUAAAUUUU